CUCUAGUAAUCUUAGUUGUAAAAACCUCUAUACAUUUUAGGUCUUAAUAUUUGAAAACUUCUGCUGCUCCUGAUAUUUCUUGGGUUGUCGAUCCGUUUACGUAGGCAUCAGUUCCACUUUCAUUUAUACAACAAUGAAACUAUUCCGCAGUUUUCUGCUAUCACUGACUUCGGUUCUCCAAUCGAUCAAUCUCCUUCUCUGAGCAGAUCCGCCAUGGUGUAAUUCAGUGAUGAAAGGAAGAUAGAUACAGUAAACUCUCAAUCUCAAGAUUGAGCUUACAAGAACUGCUCGCAUAAGUGAUGAAUAUGGAAUAAAUAAAAUGGGUGAUUCAUGAUAUCCAAACUCAUCAUAGCAUGAGGAAGCUUUCAGAUAUACAAUGCCUUGAUUUGUUAGAUCUGAAUCUUCCUGAUCAAUCUCCUUGAAGAUCUCAAUCAAUAAUCUCCCUGGUGUCUUCUCCGCGAUGGUGUAAUUCAGUAAUGAAUAUAUAGGGAAGAUAGAUACAGCAAACUCUCAAUCCCAAGAGUUUUGUUUCAAUGGAAGUUCUCAGAUUGAGCUUACAAGAACUGCUCACAUAAGUGAUGAAUAUGGAAUAAAUAUAUUGGGUGAUUCAUGAUAUCCAAGCUUAUCAUAGCAUGAGAAAGGUAAGACCUAUUAAGUUAAAUAUGAUGCAUUGCUAGUGAUUUUAUGAGUAUUUGAAUAUAUAUUGAUGAUUAGCUUUAUAGUCGAAAAAAUAUCUCUUCAUACUAUAUUCAUAUUUAAAUUUUUUAAUUUAAUUCUAUUUUGUUAGUCAUGAUUCUUUAUUGACUUCAUGUUUGCUUUUAUUAAACUUUAUUAAUUCAUAGCCAGCACAUUCUAUAUUCCCCAUUGUUAAAUAUAAUGUUUAUUUUUAGUGUAAAAUGGAAAACAUCAGUAACAAUCAUGUAGGAAGUACAAAAUGUGGAGGGUUAUAGUUUAAAUAAACAAUACAAUAUGCAUUUGAAAUCAAAGAUUUCAUAUAUUUGCUACCAUAUAAAGUAAUUCUCUAUAUGUUCUCCUUAUUAUUUGGAGGUAUUAUCAUUCGUAAAUCUCAUGUCAUAAAAUGUCAAAGAAAUUCCAUGUCGAUAAAAUGUGAAAAUAUGUUUGUUAAUGAUAUCAUAAAUCCUAAAUUCUAAUGAAUUAAAGAUGUCUCCAAAUAGUCUUCUGUGAAUUGAGUAGAAUUUCCCUUACAAAUUAGAUAUACGUAUCAAAUUUAAUUAUUUUAAGAAAUAAAAAAUUCAAUCACUUCGCAUACAAAACGCUUUACCUCCAUUUAUGGUGCAUAGUGAUGAGACCAUCCCAUAAUUAGGAAGAAGGUUGACCAAUAGUUUCACACUAUCAUGACAAAUGAAGUUAAAGGGCACCACAUUAACUUCUCAAAUUGAAUAUUGACAUGAUACAAAAUGAAAUCAUUGAUCAACCUUCUACUGAUUUGUCAUAUAUAUAAUUUAUGGAAUAGUUUUUUUUCACUAUGCACAUUGUAUGAAGGUCUGGGGAGUUUUGAUUACAAGUAGAUUGAAUUGUCUGUUUUGAACAAUAAUUGAUUGUAAUAUGUAUAUCUGAAUAAUAAGGAAUACUUUACCAAUUCCAGCAGACAUCUUUAACUCAUCAAGAUUUAGGCUUUUAUGAUAUCAUUGAUAAAUAUAUUUUUAUUAGAUUUAUCAUUCCUUUGACCCGAGACUUGUCAAUAUUAAUACCCUCAAAUUUAAUAAUGAGAAGAUGUAGAGCAUUACUUCAAAUGGUAGGAAACUUAUAAAUUCUUCAAUUUCAAUUGCAAGUUGUAUUUUGUUUGAUUAUGGUUUGUGGGGGUGUGAGCUUAGAACUUUUUAUAAAAAAAAUCAAUGUUGAAUCUAAGAUAUACAUCAUCUACAAUUAAAGAAUCAUCGAUCUAUUUUGUGAAAUUAACUCUGUUAUAAAAAAUUCUCAUAUUUGUUAAUUCCAACUAUGGAUUAUUCUCAUAAGUUUUUUUCAACAUAAAUGUAUUAUUUGAGAUUGUUACAUAGUCCAUAAGUUUAUGGAUAUUGUUUGAGGUGAAUAUGAUAUUAAGAUGUAAUAAAUUUGAAUAUUUGUUAAUUGGUAUGUAUAGCGGACAUAUAAUUUGUUUAGCUUUCAAAUAUACAACACUGUUGACUUUUUGCGUCUUCUUAAUUUAGACUUAAAGAAGAGUAAUAGAUAAAAAGAAAACUAGUAUAAGGAGUUAUUGUGAAGAACAUAGACGAAUUUAUAUUUGAUGGUUUGUAUUAUUAGAUUCUUUAACAAUGUAUUUCUUUUUGUGUUGUUGG